AAUUGGCGGUGUCGGGUCGUGACAGUUAAUGUGUGUCAUAAUGAGAGAGUUAGUGUGUGUCUAGGUUUAUUGUAUCUAGGAACAUAUAAGUAGUGGAGUUUGGCUAAGGUCAAACACACAAGAGAGAGUGUGUAUGUGAGUUGUAAUUCUCAUUUUCUAAGUAGUGUAGUAAUUAGCGUUUUGAGAGAACCUCUGCCUUUUUCUCUUGUGUCAUUCCCUUUGCAUACUUAGUCGUAGGACGCGAAGGUCCGGACUAGCAACAGGGACGAAGGCUUGCCCAUUUUCGAGCAGGAAGGUGGGCGCCGCACGGGCUUUGCGAACAAAAACGCUAAGGCUGUGACAGUUGGUAUCAGAGACAGUUCGAGGAGGAACCAUGUCUUUGUCGGAAGCUACCGUCGUUGACAUUAUGCCUGAGCCCAGGGCGACCAAGCGCGGCAAGAGCAAGGAGUCGCGGACUCUGGCUAGAGAAUCCAUCUUGCUUGACGACCGCGUAGGCGUGCUGGAGGACUCUGCUACGAGAGCGGAGGAGCGCUACUCCGACCUAUCCCAAUAUGUGGGGAUGUUGGAGGAGGGGUUUCAUUUGAUAGAGAAGAAUAUUGUUGCAGCUAUGGCAACAUUCCGCCAUCGUCUGGAGCAGUUCAAGGUGAAUCUUGCCCGUCGCAACGACGAGCAGGAUGUGCGAGAUGUGCUGCUUCAGGACAUCGAUGCCCAGGUCAAGGAGGUCGAGGACCUCAAGACGAGGGAGGCACUACCUGAGCGAACCGAGGGCAAUCAAGGUGAACCACCAAAGGCGAGCGAGGCCAAAGGUGGGGGAGAGCACUGCUAUCCAGGGGACGCAAAAGGGUGCAACGAGAGUUCAACUCUGACAGCUCUGCAGCUUUGCGAGGAGGUAAAGCGCGGGAAGGUUGGGGACCUCGAGAAGGAGGGCCUAAGCAGCGGCGAGACUAUAGAGUCUCAUGCGGCGCUGGAGCAGCCACCGUCCAAGCAAAAUGCAAGUCAUUCUGCCAAGGAGCCUGCGAGGACCACAAGGCGUUCUGCGGAGUACGCGUGCGUGUCGCGGAGGACAUGCACACCCGGGGCGUUCUGCAGCUUGGCAGAGUGCGCGUGUGUGUCGCGGAGGACAUGCACAUCCGGCGAAUUCUUCGCACAACAGGCUCGCUAGUGCACUUGCUCAGAGGGGCAAGACACUAGGUGUUGGUGCAGGGACAGAUGUGGACAUUGGGAGCAAGGCACGUGGCCGAUCGCGCGCGAAGGCACGACGGACCGCGCGGAAGGCUAUGCGAACCGGCAGCGACUCGGCGCGCGACGAGGGCGUCUGCGCAUUAGGUGGGGGAGAAUGUCACGGACAAAUGUUUUCCGCUGACUUCUCUUUGACAGUGGCCCAACUUCGCUAGCGGAGCGGGUCGUUAAAGAGACCCAAACUCAACCCACUGUGGGGAGACGAAGGGUUUUGUAAUCUCUCUCAUCAAUGAUGGAAGCUCAAGGGUUAUGAAACUACCAAGAGUUAAUAGGAUGACUCUUGGGCUUUUGGCUCACUAUAAGGGUGAGUUAAUGUGUGUCAUAAUGAGAGAGUUAGUGUGUGCCUAGGUUCAUUGUAUCUAGGAACAUAUAAGUAGUGGAGUUUGGCUAAGGUCAAAACACACAAAAGAGAGUGUGUAUGUGAGUUGUAAUUCUUAUUUUCUAAGUAAUGUAGUACUUAGCUUUUUGAGAGAACCUCUGUCUUUUUCUCUUGUGUCAUUCCCUUUGCAUACUUAGUCAUAGGAUGCGAAGGUCCGAACUAGCAACAGGGACGAAGGCUAGCCCAUUUUCGAGCAGGAAGGUGGGCGCCGCACGGGCUUUGCGAACAGAAACGCUAAGGCCG
rnacentral:lncRNA from 1 species